UUAUUAUGUAAAAAAUAUAUAAUAUAUUAUAGAUAAAAAUAUAGUUUGAAUUAACUAUACUGAUUAACGUAGUUCAAUUGAGUACCUCUAUACGGAAGUGACAGGAAUUGCGAUUGGUAGGGUAGCGUUAUUUUAUUACGUGUCAUAUACGCAAAUCUUUUCUCUAUUGCUUGAGAAUUCCAAAAACGAGUUUUUGGGAAGUUUUUUAAUAUUUGAUUAUCUUAAUUAUAUACAUAUUAAAGCAGGAAGAUGCGUCAAUUAAAGGGAAAAACAAAAGAAACAAAUAAACAGAAGAAAGAAAGGAAAAAGGAAUUUUUGGAAAAUAAACAACGUGUUUUUACAGUUGUGUUACCAACAAUUGCUGCAAUAUUUGUUAUAAUAGCAGCAUACGUUUAUGUUAAAACCCGUCCAAAAGUUGUUGAGUAUUAAUUGGCGUGUGUUCAUUAUUAAUCAUUAAAAUACAAUACCAAUGUAUUUCAAGAAUGCUUGGACAGUUCCUUGAUACAUUUGUACAAUUAAAUAAGAAUUAUUUAAAUAAGAAAGCA